rnacentral:rRNA from 1 species
UACAUGGGGUGCAAGCGUUGCUCGGAAUUAUUGGGCGUAAAGGGCGCGUAGGCGGCUUCAUAAGUCAGAGGUGAAAUCCCUCGGCUCAACUGAGGAACUGCCUUUGAAACUGUGGAGCUUGAGGCCGGGAGGGGGUAGCGGAAUUCCCAGUGUAGCGGUGAAAUGCGUAGAUAUUGGGAGGAACACCAGUGGCGAAGGCGGCUACCUGGACCGGAACUGACACUGAGGAGCGAAAGCGUGGGGAGCAAACAGG